rnacentral:rRNA from 1 species
AUUGAACGCUGGCGGCAGGCUUAACACAUGCAAGUCGAGCGGAGAUGAGGUGCUUGCACCUUAUCUUAGCGGCGGACGGGUGAGUAAUGCUUAGGAAUCUGCCUAUUAGUGGGGGACAACAUUACGAAAGGAAUGCUAAUACAGCAUACGUCCUACGGGAGAAAGCAGGGGAUCUUCGGACCUUGCGCUAAUAGAUGAGCCUAAGUCGGAUUAGCUAGUUGGUGGGGUAAAGGCCUACCAAGGCGACGAUCUGUAGCGGGUCUGAGAGGAUGGUCCGCCACACUGGGACUGGGACACGGCCCAGACUCCUACUGGAGGCAGCAGUGGGGAAUAUUGGACAAUGGGGGGAACCCUGAUCCAGCCAUGCCGCGUGUGUGAAGAAGGCCUUAUGGUUGUAAAGCACUUUAAGCGAGGAGGAGGCUACUGAGACUAAUACUCUUGGAUAGUGGACGUUACUCGCAGAAUAAGCACCGGCUAACUCUGUGCCAGCAGCCGCCGUAA